rfam:Sodalis praecaptivus strain HS1, complete genome.
CGCUCAGGACGACCUGAGCCUCCUGCCUUACCCCACGGGACGACCCGA